rnacentral:rRNA from 1 species
CCCAGACUCCUACGGGAGGCAGCAGUGGGGGAUAUUGCACAAUGGGGGGAACCCUGAUGCAGCGACGCCGCGUGGGUGAAGGAGCGUUUCGGCGCGUAAAGCCCUAUCGGCAGGGAAGAAGGAGGACGGUACCUGACUAAGAAGCCCCGGCUAACUACGUGCCAGCAGCCGCGGUAAUACGUAGGGGGCAAGCGUUAUCCGGAUUCACUGGGUGUAAAGGGAGCGUAGACGGCGACGCAAGUCUGGAGUGAAAGCACAAGGCUCAACCAUGGGACUGCUUUGGAAACUGUUAAGCUAGAGUGCUGGAGAGGUAAGCGGAAUUCCUAGGGUAGCGGUGAAAUGCGUAGAUAUUAGGAAGAACACCAGUGGCGAAGGCGGCUUACUGGACAGUAACUGACGUUGAGGCUCGAAAGCGUGGGGAGCAAACAGGAUUAGAUACCCGAGUA